CCAAGUGCCCCUGAGGGUAAAGCAGGUCUCUGUGGGUGCAGGAAAACGAGCUAUCUCUGAAAUCCAAGAAGAAAAAUAUUCUCAGUGGAACCAAAGCUGACAUUCACUCUCCUGGUGCGUUGCCAAAGCUUAGGAGCUGGAAACACUGAAGAUUUGAUAUAGAGGGGGACUGACACCAUACGGGACUGCUUGAGAAAUCAGAAACAGCUCAGUAAAAUUCUUGAACAUGUACCUUUAUCUUCCUCUGCAAAGGAGGAAUGUAGACAAGCUCUCUGUGUGAAAUUGGAAAGGAGCACUGGGGUGACCUCUGCCAACCCACACCAGCCAUGGAGCAGCUUUGGACGGCUCUUAUUUGAGCUCUGAUGGUAGCAGCUGGAGCCUUUGCACAUGUGGACAUGGGUGUCGCUGGCAUAGCAGUGUUGAGGUAGGUACCCUCAGCUGGGAGAUUUGUAUUCCCCACUUCAUGUAGAUAGAGCAUGUCAAUCUAGGGGUUUUUCCUCAGGGGCAAUGUCUCACAGAAUUGCAGACAGUCAUAGAAAACCAUUUAAAAAGGGG